GGGUGAUCUGCCCUGCACUUCGGGAUAAGCCCGGGAAACUGGGUCUAAUACCGGAUAGUACUGCGCGGUGCAUGCCGUGUGGUGGAAAGAUUUAUCGGUGCAGGAUGGGCCCGCGGCCUAUCAGCUUGUUGGUGGGGUAAUGGCCUACCAAGGCGACGACGGGUAGCCGGCCUGAGAGGGCGACCGGCCACACUGGGACUGAGACACGGCCCAGACUCCUACGGGAGGCAGCAGUGGGGAAUAUUGCACAAUGGGCGCAAGCCUGAUGCAGCGACGCCGCGUGAGGGAUGACGGCCUUCGGGUUGUAAACCUCUUUCAGCAGGGACGAAGCGCAAGUGACGGUACCUGCAGAAGAAGCACCGGCCAACUACGUGCCAGCAGCCGCGGUAAUACGUAGGGUGCAAGCGUUGUCCGGAAUUACUGGGCGUAAAGAGCUCGUAGGCGGUUUGUCGCGUCGUCUGUGAAAACCAGCAGCUCAACUGUUGGCUUGCAGGCGAUACGGGCAGACUUGAGUAUUUCAGGGGAGACUGGAAUUCCUGGU
rnacentral:rRNA from 1 species